rnacentral:rRNA from 1 species
UACGUAGGUGGCAAGCGUUGUCCGGAUUUACUGGGCGUAAAGGGCGUGCAGGCGGUCUGUUAAGUGCAGGGUGAAAGCUCCCGGCUCAACUGGGAGAGGUCCUUGCAUACUGGCGGACUUGAGGGGGGUAGAGGAAAGUGGAAUUCCCGGUGUAGUGGUGAUAUGCGUAGAUAUCGGGAGGAACACCUGUGGCGAAGGCGGCUUUCUGGGGCCCUACCUGACGCUGAGACGCGAAAGCGUGGGGAGCGAACCGG